GGAGGUAAAAGUCGUAACAAGGUCUCCGUAGGUGAACCUGCGGAGGGAUCAUUACAGUGUUCAUGCCCUACCGGGUAGAUCUCCCACCCUAUGUUAUUAUUACUUUGUUGCUUUGGCGGGCCGUUAGGCUCCGGCCCGACUACCGGCCCCGGCUGGUAAGCGCCCGCCAGAGGACCCAAAACCCUGAAUAUUAGUGUCGUCUGAGUACUAUAUAAUAGUUAAAACUUUCAACAACGGAUCUCUUGGUUCUG
rnacentral:misc_RNA from 1 species